rnacentral:rRNA from 1 species
GAUGAACGCUAGCGGCAGGCCUAAUACAUGCAAGUCGAGGGGCAGCAUUCACUUCGGUGAGAUGGCGACCGGCGCACGGGUGCGUAACGCGUAUGCAACCUACCCUUUACUGCGGGAUAGCCCGGGGAAACCCGGAUUAAUACCGCAUGGUAUCAUCAGAUGGCAUCUGAAGAUGAUUAAAGAUUUAUCGGUAAAGGAUGGGCAUGCGUGACAUUAGCUAGUUGGUGAGGUAACGGCUCACCAAGGCGAUGAUGUCUAGGGGUUCUGAGAGGAUGAUCCCCCACACUGGCACUGAGAUACGGGCCAGACUCCUACGGGAGGCAGCAGUAGGGAAUAUUGGUCAAUGGGCGAGAGCCUGAACCAGCCAUGCCGCGUGCAGGAAGACGGCCUUCUGGGUUGUAAACUGCUUUUAUCAGGGAACAAAAAGGCCAUGCGUGGCAAAUUGCGUGUACCUGAAGAAUAAGGACCGGCUAACUCCGUGCCAGCAGCCGCGGUAAUACGGAGGGUCCAAGCGUUGUCCGGAUUUAUUGGGUUUAAAGGGUGCGUAGGCGGCCUUAUAAGUCAGUGGUGAAAUCCUUCGGCUCAACCGGAGAACUGCCAUUGAAACUG